UGCAUAUGUAACAAAUUUAAAGCUUCACUUAUCUCUUAUCUACAGUAUUUUAUAAAUGGCUACAGACAGAGCUGUGCAUGUUUUCAACACAGGACAUGAUACUGCAAACAACUCUUACUCCCUGGCAUAGGACUUACAACUGAGCUCUUCUACAGACAUCACCACCAAGCGACAGAAGCGCUGAUCAAAGGGAAGAGCCUGGCUGAAGGGCAAUCAGCCAGCCUGUGGUGAGAAGCAUCUAAGUUUGUAAGGACGCUGAAAGUGUUAGAGUGACUGGAAUGUUAAUUGCUUCAGGAGCUGAAAGUUAAGGCGGGGAAAGGAUUGUUCCACUAUAAGAAUCCCAUUACUUAGCCACUGUCUCAGAGAACUGAAGAUGGGGUUACAAGCUCUCAGAAAAAUCCACCACAGCAGGAGAGGGAUAAAAAACAAAAAACUCACCCCAUCACAGGAUUUAGCACUAUCGCUCUAGGUUCAUCUAGAUUUUCCGAUAUAAGGAUCUUUCUGGAUGUCCCAUUCAAUCGGGUUACUUCAAUGCGAUCUGUUCCUGUGUCAGUCCAGUACAGGUUCCUUGCCACCCAGUCUACUGAUAUGCCAUCAGGAUGAUUAAUUUCCGUGGUCACUAGGGUCUGUGCUCCAGAACCAUCAAGAAUAAUGUCAGUGAAGUCUGGCAUGUCCAAGGAGAUUCUUCGCAAAUCUGUCCUUCUAGCGAGCAGCAAGACUUCCUCGGCACCUGGGAAAGAGCAUUAACACUGUAAUUUUGCAACUACAGAGUGCUCCUUCACCUGUCACAAGCAUAUUUAAACCAUAAUGUAGCAGUUUGAUGACAGAGAAGAAUUGCCACACAGAAAAAAAGGAGUACAGGCAUUAAAACAAUGGGAGGUGUACCUCACUUCAGGGGUGCCCAAAUAUUGCCCAGGUAAGGGGCCACACAUUAGCAACUUGCCAGUACCCCUAAGAACUACACCUAAUUUGCCUCAGGCCUAAGAAAAAGAUACAACCCCACAUGCCACAGGCUAUAGUUCCAUUGAGCAUCACAUGCUGCACUAGAGAAUUCAGUGAGACACGGUUUAGGGACCCAGGCUGUAUGGGUGGAUAGAGCUAGAAGUGGUGUUGCAUUGAGGUUGCUACUACUAUCCCCUCCAAACCAAGCUGCACUUCUGAACCGAUGCUCCAUGGAGCCAUCCUUGGAAGUCUCCUCUUACAUCAAAUCUUAUUUUCCUAAGUGUAACAGACUGAUAAUUUCCUGAAUUAACUUUACUGAAUUAGCAGCAAAGAGUCCUGCGGCACCUUAUAGACUAACAGACGUUUUGGAGCAUGAGUUUUCGUGAAUUAGGUUAAUACCUUUGGGGUCCACUGUAUUAAAAAUACAAUAGUGCAUGUGGAAUAUAUGAAAUUGUAUGCAUUUCCAUGGGAAGGAUAAACAGGAGAAGAGAAGGGGGUGAUUAGGCCAAUUCACUCAGGUUGUAGCAUCUUCAGA
rnacentral:lncRNA from 1 species